CCCUUAGAUGUGCUGGGCCGCACGCGGGAUACAAUGACCCGUUCAGAAAGUAUAACCUGACCCGGAAGGGAGUGGGUAAUCUUUUUAAUGCGGGUCGUGCUAGGGAUCGAUCUUUGCAAUUAUAGAUCUUGAACGAGGAAUACCUAGUAAGUGCAAGUCAUCAGCUUGUACUGAUUACGUCCCUGGUGUUUGUACUCACCGCCCGUCGCUCCUACCAAUUUCGAAUGAUCCGGUGAACCUUUUGGAUUGGGUGCAAGCCUAAGAAGUUAAGUAAACCUUAUCAUUUAGAGGAAGGAGAAGUCGUAACA
rnacentral:rRNA from 1 species